UGUUUUGGGGAACAAUUAAUCCCACUUCAGCUGGCACCCAUACAUUCCAGCUUUGCUGGCUUCUAAUGCAGCCACACAUUUCUCAACCACACGCAAAUUAGACAGCUGUUUAAGAGAAUCUUCUAGUGGCACACUAACACUUGUCUCAUUGGAAAUCUGUAAUUGAUUUCUAAAGCCUUGGUCACAUUUAUAGUCAUAAGAUAAAACAAAUAUAUGAUGCACAAAUUAAAAAUAGUUAAAAAACCAUAAAAACAUCAGUACAAUACAUUCAGUAAACUUGUGAAAAAUGUAUCACUGUUAACAGAAUGUGGUACUGGAAAAUGUCACUAAAAUUCAAAGUUAGGAAAGAUCAGUGAUUCCCACUAUAUCUAACUGCUAGGUGCACAGGCAUGUACCAUGAAAUUCCACCAUCUGCAGACAUUUGAUUAGCAGGUCAUGGAGUCAUAAGCGAUAGUCACUUUUAACACAAACAGCAAAUUCACAUCUUAAAAUGACACUGGAAUCAUACACUAUUUUAUAAUGAAUUGUUGCUGCAAAUAGUCCAUAAACAUUAGAAUACAAAUAAAAAGAACACUUUUGGACUUAUGAUCACUGUUACAGCAACAAACUGCAAUUAUUUCAGAAGUGUGCACUGUAUUCAUAAAACACCAAAGUGUUAAAACAUCUUGGGUAUUUACAGCAAUGAGUAGUUCCACGACUCCAGUACUAUCUUAACAUGUGAACAAGUUUUAUAUAUGUUAACCGACUGUUUAUUGAAAGCACCUGAUGAUUGCAGAAACUGAGAUAUCCAGAAUGGCAGAAACAGAAAACAUUCCUACUGAUUUAUUACACUAAAUAGUGGCAUUUCUUUUUGGAAGAAUGUUACCUGUGAAUCGGCUGCUGCAGCAGAAUGGAUACAUGUCCACAAAGCAGUGCAGAACAGAUCUGAAAAGUGCUUUAUCAUAUUAUUUAUAUAAAAUGUGCUUGUGUACAAGAAACUGCCAAAAUUAUCUGUUGCUACAUCAUGAGCAAAUGUGUAUAAUCAGUGAUCCAGCAAUGGUUUGUCAUGCAGUAUACCAUAAAUACAUCAAAUUCAGUUUGAAUUUUAAGCCAUAAUAAAAUAUUCAUCAUGCUUUAGCUUGAAAACUGAAAGGCUAAAUUCUACCUAAUCAUCUCAGCCAACAAUGUGCAACCUAAAGAUUUUCUUAUUUUACUAACAAAGGCUGCCACACUUAUUAAAUUUUGAAACAAGCAUUGUUUUCCUAAUGUAUGAAGGGCAAAUCUUUAAAAUAUACAGGAUAUACCAUUCA